AUCGUAGAUUGGCGUCGGCGCAACUACACGGCGUUAGAAGGACGUUCCGUUUUAAAUAUCAGGUUUUAUUAUUAUGAAGAGCGGCGCAGCGGAGUGCGGACGGCGCGGCGGACGGUUGCGUGCGAUAACAUUUGACAUUCGUAAUUACUCGAGCGCGGACAGUGGUGCGGCCGCGGCACAGGCGAGCCGGGCGAGGCCGGCUCCGCGGACAUUCCGCCGGAGUCCGUGGGGCCGGACAAAGAGGUCGCGCGUUGCGUCAGCGGCCACGAGCCACCGACCAGCGGUUUGACAAUCACGAGCCGUCGUCGACGCCGCGCCACCGCCGCUCUACCUCCGCUCCGCCGCCGCGCCACCGCCGCUCCACCGCCGCCAGCGCGCCGCCGACCCUCGCUGUGUCGCCGCGAGCCCGCAUUUCACAUACACUGCCGAAAUAUACGCUAGCCUUGACUACCAUUGUCGAAUGUUUCCAAAUGCACGCUCCGACAUAUUAUAUUUCCGCGUUUUAGACGCUAUUUAGGCGAACUCGUAUUAAUUCCCAAUUAAAAGAGAUAACCGUUGGAGUUUAUUUCAAGAACUCUAUAUGCCGCUUAAUGAGUCCUAAAGUUUGAGGGAGAGUUGGAGCCGUGCGAGUUAGGCUCUUACUGCGGCGGUAUAAGGUCGAUAUUCAGUGUUAGAGGUCGUAUACGUCAGCCGAUGUCAAAGAGCAGAGAGGCAGAGAGAGAUAAAGCGCUGGAGGAAAACAUUUGGUGCGCUACGACGGUACCGAUACUCGCCUCGACUCGAUAAAAACCCGUGAAAUUAUAACGAGAUGAAAACGGCGCCUUUUGGCUCGUCGUAGGGGGUUAUUCGAAUGUCGCUGUAGCUUGCCGGCUCGUUACUUACCAAUAUAAGACGCCUAUUCAAAUGAAGCAAUGAAUCAGGCUUUGUUACUACACGAGAAAGAAUAGCCAUUUUAUAUUGUCCUCAACUAGUUCGCGGUUCGAAUCCGUUGCGGACUGGGUGCGUUAAUGUUUCGUUUAAAAUAAUAGCGAUUAAAUAUUAGAUGACAAUUAAAAUAUUUUUAGUCAUUAAUUCUAAAGUCCUAGGAAUAAAAUAAUAAUGUCAAUACAUAAAGAAACUAGUUAUGUAUUUAACAUAUUUCAAUAAAGUUGUCUAUAAUUUUUUGUGAAUUUA